AGUGCUGUAGCUACCUCUACCAGUCCCCUUCCAAAAACAGUGAUUCAUGUGGCUUCAUUUGCUUCAUUUUUGCCAGCAGAUUGAAUUUGUUUCUGAUGCCACAUGACAAAGGUGCAACACACAGGAGCACUCAAUGGAGAACAUUUGCGUAGCGAGGCAGUGUGGUUCCCCGCCGCCCCAGAGAGGGACGAGCCCCUCCGGAUGCCAAAGUGCACGGAGCCAGUGGAGCCUGCGCCCGCCCCCCGGAGGUCAAGGUGCAGGACAGGAAGUACAAAAGCCCAACCCCAGAGCUCACUAGAGACCUAUCUGCCAGUGAAGCCAGACACCUGUGGCCUAGUUCCCGGUUGGGAGACUCCUGCAAUUGGCGACCAAGCCGAGGAAUGGCCAGACCAGCCGAGGCCUGAUGCCGACCAGACCCUGAGAAGCUAUUAAGCAAGUUACCCAGAGGAGCUGCCAAGCCUAGCGCUCGCUGAGUACCCUGAGGAGCCCGUGGUGCUUGAUUCUUUGGAGGACACCGUCACGACGCAGAUUGGUAAAAGGACAAGCUAGCUCCAAACUGGAUGCCCACAACACAGAUAUUGGUUGAACCCAAUGGGACACCUAAAAACAGGGCAUGAAGGACAGAGGCCAUAACAGGGACCCGAAGCAGUGCCGCAUGAAACUGAAGGAGCUGAGGCAAGCCUACCAGAAAACCAGAGAGGCGAAUGACUGCUCCGGGUCAGAGCCCCAAACAUGCCACUUCUAUGAUGAGCUGCAUGCCAUUUUAGGGGGUUCAGCCACCACUACCCCAGCCAUGUUGUUUGACUCCUUCAAUGGAGAUGGAGGCAACACGGAAGCAGGUUUUGGGGACGAAGAAGAUGAUGAUGAUGAUGAGGUUGUAGAUAGCUCACAGCAAGCAAGCGGAGAGACCGGUUUUCCCGACAGCCAGGAACUGUUUCUCACCCUGGACCUGGAGCCAGUACCCCCCGAACCCACCCAAGGCUGACUCCUGGACCCGGCAGGGGGAGAAGGGACCUCCGCUGCAUGUGUUUCAAUGAUCACAGGAUCGUCUCCUUCCCAGAGGCUAGUGAAGAUUAGAAAGAAAAAAAAACGCAUUUGCGAUGAAAUGUUCUCCGAGCUCAUGCUGUCCUCCCACACUGACAGAGCACAGACGAAUACAUGGAGGCAAAUAAUGCAGAAGUGCAGGAAAGCACAAAAUGACCGGGAGGAGAGGUGGCGGGCUGAAGAGAGUAAGUGGUGGGUUGAAGACAGGGCUGAAGCUCAAAUGUGGCAGCAGCGUGAUGAGAGGAGGCAGGAUUCAAUGCUGAGGCUGCUGCAGGACCAAACCAGUAUGCUCCAGUGUCUGGUUGAGCUGCAGCAAAGGCAGCUGGAGCACAGACUGCCGCUACAGCCCCUGUGUAACCAACUGCCUCCUCCCCAAGUUCCAUAGCCUCCACACCCAGACGGCCAAGAACGUGGUGGGGGGGCCACCGGCCAACCAGCCACUCCACCACAGAGGAUUGCCCCCAA